CGGAAUAAAAUAAAAUAGUUAUAAGUAACUGCUAUCGUCAUGAUCUUCUUUAAAAAGAGAAUGGAAAGUAUUACUUUAAGGGUUCUUUGGGUAGGAAGGUAGAUGCCAGAAUUUUGUUUAUUAGUUGGCACUCAGGUUGAGGGGGAAAAGCGGACAACAGCUAUUUUUUAAGAGAGAAUACGAAGGCCUAUUACUUCUUCAGUGAAGGAGAAGGAAGGGCCAAAAAAAGAAGAGAGUUGUGCUACAUCAAAUGAAAGGCCAAGAGCUGUCUCUUGUGAUAUAACCAAAGGAAAUUUAAAGAAACCAAAGAAGACAUUUCAGGUUUUGAAUGGAGCACAAGAGAGAACAAGUGUAGAGAUAGAGGGCUAAGCACUCAAGAAGCCAGGAGAGUGAAAAUACUGUCUCUCCUUCACCAAGUUUUACAAAUUGUGGAGAACAUAACAUGGUGAAGAUUUUGUACUUGCUUUGGGGAAAGUGUUUGAUCUGCGCUGGAUACAAUUUAUAACCCAUCUCUACCUACGUGUACCGCCUACAAAACUAGUGUGCUUUAACUCUGAGCAUGGCUGAUCUGAUUACCCCCAAUAUUGUUUUGCCAUCUUCUCUGUGGUGAACACACUCUAUGGCAACUUGUACUUAAGGAAGUAUCAAGUCCAGGAUUGUUGGUCUCCUUUUCUGACGAUGCAGGCUGUGAGAUGAGAAGGCUUUGUUACUGGAAAUGGCCCAUGCCAUUAUGAAAGCUGACACAUCAAAGGAAAGGAAAACCAGGGAAGCUGUUGGCACAGCUCUGUCCUAGACUGUAGACCUGACAAUGCCAGGACGCCUCAGGUGCACAUCAAGAGCCCAAAUGCUGAGGAAUCCAAGGGCAGAAGAGUGUGCCCCAGCUCCGGAAGAAAGCAAGCUGCUUGGCCUCUCUCCACCUUCUCGCUCUACCUGGGCUCUCGUGCAUUAGAUGGUACUGGCCCACACCCUGGGAGUGGAUUGUUCUCAUCUGUCAGUCUUGAUAGGCAUACCCAAAACAGAUGCUUCAGUAUAGUCAAGGUGAACUCACCUAGACUGUGUAAUGGCUGUUCGACAACUGGCUCUGCUUGAUGAAUUCUGUGGUGAGGGGAAACACUUUGGAAGUUAGUUUGCUUCUUGAUUCAAGACAGAUUAUAUACUUUUUUUCUAGUUCAUCUCUUCGCUGAAGACAUAAUUCUUUGCAAGUCCCAGGACCUGAAUCUUAACUCUUGGAGUAGCAGAGAACUGACUUUUUCUAAGCCCAAACUGAAGCUCCAAAUUGCGGGAACCAGCAGGGGUUUUACUGCUUGCAAAGGGACUCCUCCCAGAAUCCUGGGCCUCUGAUGGCUCUAUAACUUUUCUUCCCUUUUCCAUCUCAGGCAUGAACUAAAACAUGUUUUUCAAUCUGUAUCUACUACUUUUAGGUGCUGUGUAGCAGGGCAGAUUUUUCAGGAUAUUUACUCUGCCAAUGCUGUUGGAAAAGGAAGUCUCUGUCUCCUCUUCACCUUCCUGUAACCAAGUUUUGCCCUUAGCAUUUUACAGUCCACUCUUGUUAAGGUCACCAAUGACAUCAUAAUUUCUAAAUAAAGUAAAUAAUCAUC